GGAAACAGAUGAAGAAUCGCUCCAUUCGGAUGGUUAAGAAUGGGGAGGAAAGUCCGGGCUCCACAGGGCAGGAUGGUUCCUAACAGGAACUGCUCACCAAAAAAAGGUGAGUAAGGAAAGUGCCGCAGAGACUAGACUGCCUUCCAUGAUAUGGAGGGUAACGGUGAAAAGGUGAGGUAAGAGCUCACCGUCCCGGUUGGUGACAACCGAGACUAAGGCAAACCCCAUCCGGAGCAAGGCCAGAUAAAAGGUGCUUGAGGCUGGCCCGGCCGAUACCUUUGGGUUAGCCGCUUGAGCAAUUAAGCAAUUAAUUGCCCAGACAAAUGAUUCUUCACGACAGAACCCGGCUUACAGUCUGUUUCCGAGC
rnacentral:RNase_P_RNA from 1 species